UUUUUUUGCAAUUAUCACCUAUAAAUACAUACUUAUUGCCCAUUUAUUGACCAUAUAACACUUUUGGUCAGUUUUUGGUUUCUCUCUCAGCUCUCUCUCAACUCUAUCUCAUAGUUCUCUCUUCCUCUCUCAACUCUCUCUCUCUCUCUCUCUCUCUCUCUCUCUCUCUCUCUAUGACCACGCCUCUUCUCACGAAGAAGAAGAUCAAGAACAACCUACAAAACCCACAGCUUUGCCUUCAAAACCCAGUUCUUCCUGUUCCUCUCUGUUUUCUUCUCUACCCAAAUCCAAUUAAAAGGGUGACAUUUUGAGCUAUUUCCCUAUAAUGGAAUCGUGCAAGGCCCCCAAAUCCACCCCCUUUUGACUUAAAACAACAAAUCCACAAACCCUAACCAGUGAGAGAGGGAGCUAUUUCAAUGGCGAUACAGCCCUCGAGCUCGAGCAAAAGACAUGCUUUAGGUGAAACGACUCAAAGCACUUCUUUGGGCAUUUGGGGACCUGUAAAGACAUGUAUUCAGAGCCAAGCUUAUCUUUGUGCAAUUCAGGUUAUGUUCUAUCUGAAGGCUUGAAAGAUUGAAUAGAAUAUGGGAAGCAAAAUUACAUGCAAUCCAAAUUUCCAUAGUCGUGGUAUGUUUGAGGGACGCAUACAAGAAGGUUUGUCUAGUGGUGGUAUGUCUUAAGUCUUGUAUAAUUGAAUUCAGUAUUUUUUGUAGGGUGAUAUAUACUUGCCUUGAUUCAUUGAUGGAUUAUGGAAGUUAGACAUGAUAGCAAAAUGGCCUACCAUUUAGUAGUUUUUUAUAAGGCCUAACAUUUAUGUCGAAAAUUUUCUAUGGUUCAUUGGAUGGAUUAUGGAAGUUAGACGUUAUAGCAAAAGGGUUUAUCAGUUUCCAUCUAAUGUUUUUGUUAAUUUAGUACAAGGGUGGUUGGAUGCACAUCUCAGAGGUAGCAAAUCCAGUUUUAGCUCUUACAUUAAUGGCA